rnacentral:lncRNA from 1 species
CCGGCGAAAUUUCCAGGUGAAUCAGGAGUUGUUUUCCCGGUGGGCUUUGGUGACGAGUCAGGAGCUGAGCUGGAAAAAGAUUUUCCGACGAGAAGUCAUGAUUUUGAUAUGAAGACUGAAACUGGAAUGGACACGAAUUCUCCAUCAAGAAGCCAUGAAUUUGAUCUGAAGACUGAAUCUGGAAACGACAAGAAUUCUCCGAUGGGCUUUGGUAGUGAAUCAGGAGCUGAGCUGGAAAAAGAAUUUGAUCAGAAGAACGAUUCUGGAAGAAACGAGUAUUCGCCGGAAUCUGACGGCGGUUUAGGAGCUCCGUUGGGAGGAAAUUUUCCGGUGAGAAGUCAUGAGUUGGAUCUGAAGAACGAAUCUGAUAUCGACAAGGAUGUGCCGACGGGAUUUGACGGAGAACCAGAUUUUCUGGCGAAGGGAAGACCUGGAUACGGUGAGGCAUCAGAAGAGGAUAAAUUUCCGGCGAGAAGUGAUGAUGUGGAAGUAGAGACUGAGCUGGGAAGAGACCCAAAGACGGAGACUCUUGAUCAAUUCUCACCGGAACUUUCUCAUCCUAAAGAAAGAGAUGAGUUUAAGGAGUCCAGAGAUGAUUUUGAGGAGACGAGAGAUGAGAAAACAGAGGAGCCAAAACAGAGCACUUACACAGAGAAGUUUGCUUCAAUGCUAGGUUACUCCGGAGAAAUUCCGGUGGGAGAUCAAA